GAUUCCAUAGCUCAGCUGGGAGAGCACUACCUUGACAGGGUAGGGGUCGCAAGUUCGAAUCUUGUUGGAAUCA
rnacentral:tRNA from 1 species